AUCUGUAUAAAACCUUACUGAUUUUGCAUUUUUGCAAAAGUAGAUCAUUUGUUUGAACUUUGCAAGAUUAAGCUGUUAGAGUGGAGUAUACCAUUUAUUUUGGUAAGAAAAAAGAAAAAUAUAUAUUAUAUCGAUCUUGGUCAAGUGUGUUUGCUACUGUAUGAGUAUCAUAUCCGAUCUUUAUUAUUUUAUUUUUUCUAAAAUGUGACAUGCAUUUACACGUGCAGUUUAC
rnacentral:lncRNA from 1 species